AGACGUCUACAUUAGAUACCCGGGUAGUCCCAGCCGUAAACUAUGCGCGUUAGGUGUAUCGGUGACCACGAGUCACCGAGGUGCCGAAGGGAAACCGUGAAACGUGCCGCCUGGGAAGUACGGUCGCAAGGCUGAAACUUAAAGGAAUUGGCGGGGAGCACCACAACGGGUGGAGCCUGCGGUUUAAUUGGACUCAACGCCGGGAAGCUCACCGGAUAAGACAGCGGAAUGAUUGCCGGGCUGAAGACUCUGCAUGACCAGCUG
rnacentral:rRNA from 1 species